rnacentral:rRNA from 1 species
UACAGAGGUGGCAAGCGUUGUUCGGAAUUACUGGGCGUAAAGGGCGCGUAGGCGGCUUGGUCAGUCCCGUGUGAAAUCCCUCGGCUCAACUGAGGAACUGCACGGGAAACUGCCUGGCUUGAGUUCGGGAGAGGGAAGCGGAAUUCCGGGUGUAGCGGUGAAAUGCGUAGAUAUCUGGAGGAACACCGGUGGCGAAGGCGGCAUCCUGGACCGAAACUGACGCUGAGGAGCGAAAGCCAGGGGAGCAAACGGG